rnacentral:lncRNA from 1 species
AUUCUUGUUUUCUCCUUCUCUAAGACCAGGUCCCAGGAGAUGGACAUUAGAAGAACAGAGGAAGAUCUGAACUCAACUUAAAUGCCACGAAGCGAGGCGCUGUAAUCCAGGACUUCUGACCCGGAACAUCGGUAGAUGUCAAGAGUUCUGCAAGUAGAGGUCAGGUGGUCUAGAAGCUUGGCUAGGAAAAGAACCAUUCCUCUCUCCACCUCCUGAUGAAGUGGCCUUUUCCUUCAGCGAUGAAUGGAGGAAGCCGCAGUGACAGUGGCAAAACCUGUGGUUUUGUCACUGGUGAAAAAGUAAACAAGUCAACAAUGCCCGAGAUACUUUGGCAUUGUGCCUUCCA